AACCUUGAUGGCAAAAAGUGAGAAAUGACAUUCAAAGUGAGGUCUGAAUUCAUCUUUGAGGAGAAAUUGCUCCUUUGUCCUUGAGGAAAGCACUUUAGUAGGUCUUUGAUUAUUCAGAAGCAAGAACAUAUUCUGGAAAGGAAGCAGAAGGGAGAGAGAAGGAGCUAAAGUACUCUGCAUUAUAAAGUAAUUGCUAAUCUUCCUGGUGGGUGGAUUACUUCUCUAACACAGCUUCCCCUUAAGCAAGUAAGCCUUUUCUCUGAGAACCUCAACGGGAGGCAAGAUGGGGCCCUGGCGCUCCCAAGUGGGAGAGUGAAGCUGUCUCUGUGACAUGGGGUCCCACUGGGUCUGUCCUGGCGCUCCCAAGUGGGAGAGUGAAGCUAUCUCUGUGACAUGGGGUCCCGCCGGGUCUGGAGGAGAGGCAUCCUCCUGAAGUGGACUCUGAAGGUACCUGGUGGAUGAAUUCCAUCAGGAGUCACACAUCUGCAUUAUAAUUCCCUUCUGUUACAGGACGACAAGGGAGGACCUGCAGAAAGUGCCUGGCAGACUAGAGGCUGACAGCUGACUAAGGACACAAGUGUCAGCCACAGCAGAUUGGAGGAACACAGCAUUCCUAUGGAAUUCCCGAGGAUGCUUGGGCUGGGACUCCUGGGAAAGUCCUGUACCUCCAGGAAAAAUGGGAAAAGGGUUUGGAGCACCAUUAUUGGACUGUUAAAGUGAAGCGUGACCACUAUAUUUGGGAAGUGAAUGAGACAUCUGGGUUUCACAUGGUUUCAAAGAACCUCAUGAACAUGAGGAGACAAUACGAGCAAAGGAAUGAGAAUAAGAAACAGCUCAUUGUUUGGAGGAAACUAAGCACCUUGAUGUUUUUGCAGCAUAAGAUAUGAGGCUGGAAUUGGUGUGAGCUUGGAUUGUAUGGGCAUCAUCUCAAACACUCUUUGGCUACUUCGGCACUCCUUGUUUCUACUCAUGUCAUAACUUCCUAGAGAACUCCAACCAUGGGAGGAACCAACUAUGAGCGGAACCGAUCUCCUAUCUUCUCCAUGUCUGUGCCUGCAGCAACGUGUGCUGCUGAAGAAAAAUCAACCACUGGGGCAGAGAGGUAUUAUCUUGUAACUGCAUGAGUAACAAUACAGGUAUCUCACGCGGUGCCUGUGUGUGAAUUAGAACAAGACAUCCCUUCCUCAAGACACUUGGCUUCUCUGUCAGAAAGCUGUGGUGGUAUCUUGAUUUUGCAAGAACAAGGUAAUUUACUGGCAUCUGCCAGAAACUUGCCAUAACAAAUAUAUAAAUCUAUGAUGUUUAUGAUGUGAACAGUUCCCCUCUGAGGUAUGGCAACCUUGUGCAAUGCCUGCACAACUGUACACAGUGGCCCUGAUGACUACCCUCAUUCAGGCACUCAUGCCAGUAAAUGUUUCUUUAGUGAAAUAUAUCAUGCCUUUGCCUGUCUUCUUAAACCCAACUCUUCUUUUUUCCCUUUAUUCUCAGGGGAUAUCUAUUCCUGAUACUUCAAGAAAACUGGAGCUACCAUAUGAGAACUCCCUAAUUUUCCUAUUAUCAUAUCCACAAUCUUUCCAUCAUUUACACCCACCCUUUCCCUCUUUCAUCUUCCUACCAAGACCAGUCCCUUUGUGUGGGCUCUGUAUUCCAAUCCUGUCGAUUCUUUCAUGGAAUAUGUCAUGAUUUUAAAUUCCAUAUUCCUGUAUAUGAAAUAGUUACUGCAUGCCUAUCUCCCUAUUAGAUCCACCCCCAGGGCAGGGAUCAUGUCUGUGUGGCUCAGCACUGGAUCCCUAGGGCUGUGUACAGAGUAGGGGCUCAAAAGAUUUGCCGAAUGGGCGAAUGCUAACACCUAAAGGCACCUGCUAACUGAAGUAUUGCUCUUCCUCUUUCAUUACAAUGGAUUGAAUGACAGUAUUAAUGUAAGCUUGUGAAGAGUAAGGUAAGCCAGCUUGUCCAAUUUAUGUAAAAUAGUACCAUGUCAUGAGAUGGCCAGAUAGCCACGAAAUGCCUUGGGGGAAUGUUACAUGUUGAUAGCUACACGUUUAUACCUAUUACUUACAUAAAUCUAUGAUUUGUUUUUCUUGAAAUUGCUGUCUCUUAUUAAGCUGUGUGCCCUCAAGUUUGCCUAACAUCAGUGUGGGAGGAAACUGACACAUGUUUGGAGAAUGAGUUACACCAAGUGGAGGAUGAAAACUUCUAAAGCAGAGCACAAAGAAACCGGGGGAUUAUUUUGCAACAAUGAGGAAGGUGCUGUAAGGUGCUGACUUGGAGGAGAGCUGCUGGAUUAAAGUAUCCUGCAGAAGUACAGCGCAAACCUAGCCCAUGACUUCCAACCGAGGUUUAGGGGUGGAAAGACAGGCAGGAAAAAUCUUAGAAGCAGACACACUGCUGGUUUUGAGCAUGCAUGUGUUGCGUGUGUGCUCUUACACACAGACACACGACACACAGAGACACACACAAACACACACACCAUCUCUCCAAAACAUGGCAGUAUCUCUAGCUUUCCUGUAUGAGGGUAGUCAUUAUAAUGCUUGUUUUUUCUUGUUAUCUUCCCUAAACGUAAGCAGAGCCUUAGUAUCCAGCAGUAACUUCAAGCUUAUUUCCUGCUGUCUCCCGGCCAGAAAGCUUGGCUGGUAUGACUGGUCUCGAAACCAGCUCUCUACUAAGUCAAGCUCGGGCUGAAAGGGACACUAGAUUUGGAGUCAGCAGGAAGGUAGGUCUAUGCCCAGUUGUGUCAGGCUCUCUGAUGUGACCACAUGUGAACCAAACUCUGGAAAUCUCUGCUUCCCUCCUUACAAUGCCUCUCUCAUAGCACACAGGCUGUGACUUAAAAAGUGGAAGAUGAAGAAAAUGGAAUGCUCAGAGUGUGAGUGGUUAUUAUUAGAGAUCCUUCCUGCAUCUGGCUUAUGCAAUUUUAACUAUGAUAGAAAUACAUUUAGUUUAGAAUAAAGUGGCAAGUUCUUCCAAAUUAGAUGGAACUUCAUGUCCCCAUGAAGUUCUGGGACGAUAGGAAUCUAGGGAAAUGCCGUACAUGGACUCUACUACUCAUCUGAACACUAAGCCAUCACACAUAUUCUCUCUCUCUGAUGAGUGUAUGUCUUAUCUCCCCGACUAAACUGUAUAACUGUUCCAACAGGGUCACUCAAUAAUUGGUCAGUGAAAUCACUGAAGGAAGAUCAAAGAAUGAAAAGUAAGCCUAGAGUUUCUGCUGACAUAUAGUCAGUUGAUUUAUCUUUGAAGUGAGUGCUUUCUUUGUAAGUGUAACUUUUUGCUCCAGAAUCAAAGCAAAAUGGUGAAAAAAACACACAAAUAUUGCCACAGAGAAGGGAAACAUCUAGGCACCCAUGCUGAAAUGAAUCUUAAAACAUCUCCUUUUAAAAACCUGAUUCCUUCCUUGAAUCAACAUUCCCACUAAUUUUGUAGCUUCUGUUCUUCAUAGAAUGGUCAGUCUGUCCCUCUGGGAGACUUUUUCUAGGAGAUUGGUGGGAAGGGUACCAGAAUUCUGACCAGUGUUUCAAGGAAAAACUCUGCCUUUAGAGAGGGAAGGCCAUAUGACGUGAAAAGGACAAGGUAGGGCUUGCUGGUCUGAUUCACAGGAAGACGAUGAGUAACAGCAAUGUUGUCAAGUGCUUUUGAGAAAAAGAAUUAUUCUCUAAAUGACAAGGGAUUCUCAACUAAUGCACAAACAGGUAUAUAAAAAUGCUUGACAGAAUACAUGAAAAAGGAACAUGAUUUCUAAUUGAAGCAGAGGUUGGAAAAAAACAGUAAAGGAUACCAAUUGGAGUCACAAAUCUAACACAAGUUCCUCAUAGGGUGUACUGGGCCCGAUCUAGAGGAAACAUGCACAUCUCAUUAUUAAGUGGAAACGAUGCAGCCAGAUAAGGUUAAUGGAGUACUUACCUCUUCGGCUUAAAUGUUAAAGGCUUUCCAGAUCUCUUCACUAGAAAAACUGCAACUCUCAUGUGGACAGAUACACACUUAGAUCUAAAGGGGACACAGCAAGAUCAUCCAUUGGCUCCCACAUCUAAAACAUCCAAACACGUCUACCUCUUACGGCUUUAAAAUCUGCAGAAAGGGGGGAUGCUUCUCAGCUCCCUUAGGACUCUCCCUACACGAAUAAUUUCUUCAGGAUCUUUAUCACCAAGUAGUGCUGCAACCUGGUCUGAUAAUACAGCCUGAAGAGCUUCAGUUUUACUCUGAGCGAGUGUGGGCCAGCACUGGGUAGACAAAGUGGGCACAGUCAUGGAGAACACAGAGGGUUGGGAGACUAACAGAUAACCACAGUAGAUCCUUAAGCAGAGACGCAGCAUGACAAGACCGCUGUUCAGAGAAGCUAUAAUUUCGGUUCAGUGUGUGUGUGUGUGUGUGUGUGUGAGAGAGAGAGAGAGAGAGAGAGAGACAGACAGACAGACAGACAGACAGAUAGACAGACACAUCUGUUAGGAGAUCUUUCAUUAAAGCCCCAGGUGAUGAAAGUCCAAGACUGGGUGGCCACAAUGAGAAGCAAGAGGAAGGGACCAAUGCAAGGAGACUUUUGACGGGAUUCUAAGCAGGAUAUGAUGGCUGACAGGACAAAGGGGAUGACACUUGGGAAUGAGUCAGGUUUUGAGUUUGGGGCCUAGAAGACUCUGGUAGGGCCAGUCGACAAAUGUGGUAAGUUGUAAAAAAAUAAAAAACAAAA